AUUGAACGCUGGCGGCAGGCCUAACACAUGCAAGUCGAACGCGUGGCGGACGGGUGAGUAAUGUCUGGGACACUGCCUGAUGGAGGGGUAUCACCACUGGAAACGGUAGCUAACACCGUAUUCUAUCAGAUGUGCCAAGAUGGGAUUAUCUAGUUGGUGGGGUAACGGCUCACCAAGGCGACGAUCCCUAGCUGGUCUGAGAGGAUGACCAGCCACACUGGAACUGAGACACGGUCCAGACUCCUACGGGAGGCAGCAGUGGGGAAUAUUGCACAAUGGGCGCAAGCCUGAUGCAGCCAUGCCGCGUGUAUGAAGAAGGCCUUCGGGUUGUAAAGUACUUUCAGCCGGGAGGCGUUACCCGCAGAAGAAGCACCGGCUAACUCCGUGCCAGCAGCCGCGGUAAUUC
rnacentral:rRNA from 1 species